rnacentral:rRNA from 1 species
UACGUAGGUGGCAAGCGUUUGUCCGGAUUUACUGGGCGUAAAGAGCGCGCAGGCGGUCGGAUAAGUCGAAUGUGAAAGCCCCCGGCUCAACUGGGGAGGGUCAUUCGAUACUGUUCGACUCGAAGGCAGGAGAGGGAAGUGGAAUUCCCGGUGUAGUGGUGAAAUGCGCAGAUAUCAGGAGGAACACCGGUGGCGAAGGCGGGUCUCUGGGCCGUAACUGACGCUGAGGAGCGAAAGCAUGGGGGAGCGAACAGG